GAUGAAGAUCGCAGCGAAAUGCGAUAAGUAAUGUGAAUUGCAGAAUUCAGUGAAUCAUCGAAUCUUUGAACGCACCUUGCGCCUUUUGGUAUUCCGAAAGGCACACCUGUUUGAGCGUCAUGAAUACCUCAAUCUCCAUCUUUUCUUCGGAUUGAUGGGUGACUUGGAUGUUGAGCCCUGCUGGUAUGCUAUAUCAGCUGGCUUUAAACUUAUUAGCCGGCUCUGUACUGGAUCGGUUUGACUCGACGUGAUAAUAUUAUCGUUGAGGAUGCAUGUCUCAUGCAGCCGGAAAGUAUCAAAGCAGCUUCUAGCUUGCCUUUAGUGCACUUUUACAUUUUAGACCUCAGAUCAGGUGGGACUACCCGCUGAACUUAAGCAUAUCAAUAAGCGGAGGA
rnacentral:misc_RNA from 1 species